AUUGAACGCUGGCGGCAGGCUUAACACAUGCAAGUCGAGCGGGGGAAGGUAGCUUGCUACCGGACCUAGCGGCGGACGGGUGAGUAAUGCUUAGGAAUCUGCCUAUUAGUGGGGGACAACAUCUCGAAAGGAAUGCUAAUACCGCAUACGCCCUACGGGGGAAAGCAGGGGAUCUUCGGACCUUGCGCUAAUAGAUGAGCCUAAGUCGGAUUAGCUAGUUGGUGGGGUAAAGGCCUACCAAGGCGACGAUCUGUAGCGGGUCUGAGAGGAUGAUCCGCCACACUGGGACUGAGACACGGCCCAGACUCCUGCGGGAGGCAGCAGUGGGGAAUAUUGGACAACGGGCGGAAGCCUGAUCCAGCCAUGCCGCGUGUGUGAAGAAGGCCUUUUGGUUGUAAAGCACUUUAAGCGAGGAGGAGGCUACUUAGAUUAAUACUCUGGGAUAGUGGACGUUACUCGCAGAAUAAGCACCGGCUAACUCUGUGCCAGCCGCCGCAGUAA
rnacentral:rRNA from 1 species